GAGAAGCAAUACCGUGAGGUGGAGCAAAACUCAAAAAAUGAUCUCAGUUCGGACUGUAGGCUGCAACUCGCCUACACGAAGUUGAAAUUGCUAGUAAUCGUGGAUCAGCAUGCCACGGUGAAUACGUUCCCGGGUCUUGUACACACCGCCCGUCACACCAUGGGAGCUGGUAACACCCGAAGUCAGUAGUCUAACCGCAAGGAGGACGCUGCCGAAGGUGGGAUUAGCGACUGGGGUGAAGUCGUAACAAGGUACC
rnacentral:rRNA from 1 species